AUUGAACGCUGGCGGCAUGCCUUACACAUGCAAGUCGAACGGUAACGGGCCUUCGGGUGCCGACGAGUGGCGAACGGGUGAGUAAUAUAUCGGAACGUGCCCAGUAGUGGGGGAUAGCCCGGCGAAAGCCGGAUUAAUACCGCAUACGACCUGAGGGCGAAAGCGGGGGAUCGCAAGACCUCGCGCUAUUGGAGCGGCCGAUAUCAGAUUAGCUAGUUGGUGGGGUAAAGGCCUACCAAGGCAACGAUCUGUAGUUGGUCUGAGAGGACGACCAGCCACACUGGGACUUAGACACGGCCCAGACUCCUACGGGAGGCAGCAGUGGGGAAUUUUGGACAAUGGGCGCAAGCCUGAUCCAGCAAUGCCGCGUGCAGGAAGAAGGCCUUCGGGUUGUAAACUGCUUUUGUCAGGGAAGAAAUCUUCUGGGUUAAUACCUCGGGAGGAUGACGGUACCUGAAGAAUAAGCACCGGCUAACUACGUGCCAGCCGCCGCCGUAAGAC
rnacentral:rRNA from 1 species